AAUAUACUUCCUCCGUCCAACAAAAAAUGUUUCAACUUAGACUAAAUUUGAAUGCAUCUAUACACUAAGUCAUGUCUAUAUACAUUCAAAUUUUGAUAAACUUAGACAUCUUUUGUUCGACGGAGGUAGUAUAUC
rfam:Brachypodium distachyon strain Bd21 chromosome 4, whole genome shotgun sequence.